rnacentral:rRNA from 1 species
UACGAAGGGGGCUAGCGUUGUUCGGAAUUACUGGGCGUAAAGCGCACGUAGGCGGAUAUUUAAGUCAGGGGUGAAAUCCCGGGGCUCAACCCCGGAACUGCCUUUGAUACUGGGUAUCUGGAGUCCGGAAGAGGUGAGUGGAAUUCCGAGUGUAGAGGUGAAAUUCGUAGAUAUUAGGAAGAACACCAGUGGCGAAGGCGGCUCACUGGCUCGGUACUGACGCUGAGGUGCGAAAGCGUGGGGAGCAAACAGG